rnacentral:lncRNA from 1 species
AGGGUGAGAAACGGAGGCCUUCAGCCAACAGCUGGGAGAAGCUGAGUCCCAUCAGCCAUUCAAAAGACUGCAGCCCCAGCCAAGAGUUUGAUGUAACCUCAGGAGAGACCCUGAGCCAGAACCACCUAGGCCAACGAGCUAUACCUAGUGAUUCCAAAGUCCACAUAUAUUUACUCUGUUCUCACUGUACAAAGUAACCACUCUGAAGUCAAAAAAGCUGGGAUACAUGAAGACUGCCAUCCCUUGAGUCACUUGCCCUGUAGCUGCCACUGUUGGAAAAGGGCUUGCUUCUGUGUCCUUGUGCCCACUUUGAAAAUCCCUGGGAAGUCCUUGGAGUCAGAUGAGCAGGCCUCCGCCACUCUGCCAAAAAGUCUGUUCACAGGAAGUUUCACAUCACUAGAGAAGAGAGAAGAAGGACAUUUGUACUGGGAGGAGUCGACCGGUCCCAGUAAGGAGAAAGUAGCUACAGCGUCAUGGGUGAGCUGGGUCCCCCAAAAAGGAACUUUAAGGGAAUGGACUGAAUCAAGUCUGAGAUGUCCCCAAAGCAAGACCAAAGAACUGAGGAAGAGAAGCAUUCAUCAGAAACCAAAAUUCAGCUACAAGUGAGCAUCCAGAUGGAGGUAUUAUGAAGAGGAACUGAGACUGAGGGCAAAAGGUGCCAGCCAGAAUCCUGGAUAGGAGAGCAAGAACCAGGACCUCAUUUAAGAGACAACCUGCUUAAGGCAGAGUAAGCACAAAUGGGCACUCAACAUCAAUGAAGUAACAGCAAAGUCACAUAAUAAAAGCAUGGAAUUAAGACAAGCUGAAGAUUCGGAUGCAAUAAAACAACCACCCAUUAUUA